CUUCCUCGCCAUCUUCAUUGGCAGCUUGUCACUUCUGAUUGUGAUGGCUUUCCUGGUUAUGCUCCUUAGUUGGUGUGGCUCCCUGCUUGCCUGGUGUGGCUGUGACUGCUUGCUUGGAAGUGUGGGCUUUCAUUUUGCUUUCCUGGACACUGCAGUCUUUCUAGGAGGGAAAACCUGCUAACCCUCCUUUCUUGAAGUUUUGGCAGACAUCUCUGGCCUUUUUUCUAAAGGAUAGCAACCUUCUCUCUAUUGGCCAUCUUCGUCUUCGGAUAUUUCAUCCUUCUUACUGACAUUGUCUCCUUUGGAAGAGCAGCCAUUUCCUUUAUUUCUUGGUUUCUACCUGUAGUUGACAUAUUGUGACAUGAGAGGGAGGUGGUGGGUGGUGAUGGCUUGGGGGACCCAAGAAGAAGCUGAGCAGUGUUGAUGCAGGCUGCAGUGCUGAGGAUACUGUUAUAAAACUGGAAAAGAGACUAUUCGUUAAUGCUAAGAAUCAUUUAUAAGUAAGGUUAGAGGUAUAUUUUAACAAACUGGUUUUUGUCCAGUUUUGAAUUUUAAGCAUUUUUAGAAAUUCAGUUUAUAUAAUCACCUAAUACUAGCACAGCUGAGCUUUUUCUUGAUUGUUCUUAGCUUUUUUUUUUAAAUUAUUCUUGGCAAUAUUUAUGUUUCCAUUUCUGUUGUCUUGGGUCAGAGCUAUUUUGAUCACCAAUUGGAUUUUCUUUGUAUUCUGUUCAUUCCUAUCUCCCCAUAGUGCAUUCUUUACCCAACUGCCAGAUUGGUAUUAAAUUCUGCUCAGAAAUCUUAAUGUCUCUUAUUACCCAUAAAAUGAAAAUCCUAUUUAGUAUUCAAAAGCAGUAGAGAAAUGCUUUAUUUUAGACAGUGGCUUUCAAACUUUGUAAGAAAUAAUACGUUUUAUACUGUGGCUUAGUAUACACAUACAUGUAUGCACACAACUGAAACAAAAGUUUCACAGAAUAGAACCCCUCGUAAGUAGGAUAUACUCAUAUAUAUUCCGUUUCACUCUGCUGAUCUCCAUUUUUAAAUGCUGAGUUUUAUUCCAUAAGUUGAUUUCAUAACUCAUUAAAAGGUUAUCUGGAGUUUUAAAGUACUUUUGUUGGAUUAAAAUAGCAGAGAGGGAUGUCCUUUGGGGAAGGGAUACUUCCAGAAGUGAAGAAAGGCGUUUCGUAAUGGUGCUCUAUGCUCCAGGUAGGUUUGUCUAACCAGGAUGUCUUUACUGUAUCCAAGCUGCCUACACUUCAUCACCUCAGUAUAUUAACAUGCACACUCCGCUUCUGUGAAGAUGGACAUGUGUGGGGGCUUUGCGUUGGCUCGCAGAUUUAGAGGAUAAAAUCAUCUUACCCUCCUAAAAAUCUCCUAAAUUACAAGUCAGUGCCAAAAUGAGAUCUCUAAAGAUUGCUUCAGAAUGGCCCCCAUAUCUUUUCCUCCACUUUUCUGUGUUCUCCUACCUGUGCCAGACCCAACUUUUUAUCUCACAAGCUUACAAAAUCUCUCUCAGCCGCUUAGCUCUUAUUCUGCAUUCUUGCACUAGUUGUCUGCGUAAUAUUUAGCACUUAGAAUAUACUGCUGUCAUCUUUUCAUAGGCAUCUCCUGCCUUUCUAACUAAUGAAUCUGUUGAAUCCGUAUUUUUAAAUAUUCAGACAUAGAUUCACCAAAAUAUAAUUUGAAAAAAAUGUUCAUGGAUAUACUGACCCAGCCACCCUCCUUCCCUCUGUGUUAUUAUUAGCAGUAAUGGGUAUUUACCUUUCAAAGAAAAUGGUUGUAAUUGAGUAUCAGGAGGUAUAAUUUCUAACCCAUUGGUUCAUUUUAUGUUUAUGUUGUGUUAUAACCAGAUCAUAUAUAUUUAGAGAUUCUAAUCUGCAGCAGUUUGGAGCCAAUGCUAGACUAUUUUGUGUUUGAACUUACUAAUGCUUAUUUUAUCUUUUCAAGGGCUACAAAACUUUACAGAGGAAGUGUGAUUGCACUCUGCAUUUCCAGUGUAUUUUUCAUGCUUCCUUGGCAGUUUGCUCAAUUUGUGCUUCUUACUCAGAUUUCUCUUGCAUUUUGUUUUGUUUUGAUGUUUGGGAGCUCAAUGUUGUUAUUAUCCUUCUUUGGUAAUUAUUUGGGGUAAUCUGGCAAUGAAACCACAUUUCCUGAAAAUAAAUAUAUCUGAACUUAGUUUAUGGGUUAUUCAAGGAUGUUUUUGGUUAUUUGGAACUGUCAUACUUAAAUAUUUGACAUCUAAAAUUUUUGGUAUUGCAGAUGAUUUCUUGUGGAAGAAAUGGAGAAAAAAUACAGGAAGAAGAGAAGAAGAAAUGAAGACGGAAGCGAGUUCGACUCCUAUUCUCCCAGCUCUUCACUGCCUCCACUGCUCCCCAGGCACCUACAGCGUCCUGCGCCGCGUGACUUCUCCUCACCUCCAGCAACCCCUCACACCUCCCCCUGCAGGAAGCCUCCUGGCACAGGGACUUCAUCCUCUGUUCCUUCCUCUCUGUUGUCCUUCUACCUGGAGCUGCCAUCCUGGUCUCACUGGACUUUGCCCUUCACAGUGGAUUCCAAAGCAUGAGCUGGGCUGCUUUUGAAGGGUGAGAAAUGGGAGUUGACCCCGAUCAUAGAAACCAUACCAGCUGAAAGACAAAUCAGCAUCUCGCUGGAUGACCCCUCACAGGGCUCCUAGAUCCCUGAAGUGUGAACUUCAGCAGCUGAGAGGUAACAAUUGCACACAAAUCACACUAUCAUGCUCCAACGAAUGAUGUGGUCCUUGAGAAACAACAAGAUGUUAGAAUGAAUUCAGUCUCAGCACAAAAAGAUUAGAGUACUGUUUAAGGUUUUGUUUGGUAUUACUUUCUUCUAUUCAAACAGUAUUUCCUGAGGUUAACUUUCUUGGAAGAAGUGGAAUUAAUGGAGUUCUCACAUUCAGCCCUUCAGUUUAUCAUUGCUGAAUUCUUGAGUUAUGUUCAAAUGGGUAAUACAAUUUGUGUUUAGAAAACACAAAGUGGAAAAUUUAGAGAGAUUUAGAUUAUGUUUCUAUGUUCAUUUCAAAUGCCUUGGGAGCAUUUACUUCUUAAACAUUUCGUGAGGAAUAAACCAAAUAUAAUCAGUGCCCUCCUUUAACUCCCCAGCAAUCUGGGAUAGAUCAUACUCACAAUGUAUUUCCCAAGUAUCCUUUGUUACUGAAAAGGCAGUCUUUUCCCCGUAAGUACUCUCUGAGAACACCCAUCCCAGGUCUCCUUGAAAAGCAAAUGAGAGCUGAGCAUGGCAAACACACAAGGUCCAGCUGUGUACAGAUCAUCAGUAGAUGGCACGCACAUGCAUGUAUGUACCUAACAUGAAACCAGAUGUCCUUUCUCAGAUGACAGAUGUCAAGGCUGCAGUUUUCUUCUCUUGCCUCUUACUUUGAUGAAUAUAAACUAAGAUGAGAUUUCUAUUUAAUACAGUCACCUUGCUUUUCUUUUAAAAUACUCAUAGAAGGGGGUAGGGAUUGAUUAUAGGAGGGCUUUCAGUUAGGGAAGUAGAAGACUAAGUGCUUUGAAAAGCUUUAUGAAGAAUAAGACUACGAGAAAAGCUGUAGGUCUGCAAACACCCAAUAGAAAA